rnacentral:rRNA from 1 species
CUACGGGGGGCAGCAGUGAGGAAUAUUGCACAAUGGGGGGAACCCUGAUGCAGCAACGCCGCGUGGAGGAUGACGCAUUUCGGUGUGUAAACUCCUUUUAUAUGUCAAGAAAAUGACGGUAGCAUAUGAAUAAGCACCGGCUAACUCCGUGCCAGCAGCCGCGGUAAUACGGAGGGUGCAAACGUUACUCGGAAUCACUGGGCGUAAAGGACGCGUAGGCGGGUUGGAAAGUCAGGUGUGAAAUCCUACAGCUUAACUGUAGAACUGCACUUGAAACUUCUAAUCUAGAGUAUGGGAGGGGGAGAUGGAAUUAGGGGUGUAGGGGUAAAAUCCGUAGAUAUCACUAGGAAUACCUAAAGCGAAGGCGAUCUCCUGGAACAUUACUGACGCUAAGGCGUGAAAGCGUGGGGAGCAAACAGGAUUAGAUACCCGCGUAGUC